UUUUUGUUUCUGAAACAAAAUUGGAAUAAAAAAAAAAGAAACAAAAAAAUUUACUUCUCCCUUCAAGAAGAACAAAAAUGAAAAGAACAAAAACAAAACACUUCUUAAAGAGUCGACCACUGCGAUCUUCCUUCUCUCUCAAGCUCUCUCUUUCUCUUUCUCUCUCUAUCUGGAUCUCAAAGGAAAGAGCUUUCGCUAGCUGGGCAGAAGAGCUCCGUUGCUUCCUUCUCUUCGCUCGGUAUCUUCUUCCCUCCUCAGAUCUUUCGCGCCAUUGCCGCCAUCUCCCUCAAUCCUCCGCGAUUCUCGCUCGCGAAGGAACAUUCUUUACUGGGAGUGCUGCGCGCGGGGGUGUCACCAGUGUGCUUUUGCUAUCGGCGAUGAAUACGACGAUGCCGAUGGCGAGGGAGUGACGAUGGGUCGCGCUUGCAUGGAUCUCGGGGCAUGGGACUGCUAGGGUUGCGGGGCGUCGGUGGGAUUCGCGCGGGUGGUUCGGCGGGCGUUCAGGCAUGGACGCAGACAAGGGGAUGUCCUCAGACAACAUCAAGGGGCUGGUGCUCGCCCUGUCUUCCAGCCUCUUCAUAGGUGCCAGCUUCAUCGUCAAGAAGAAGGGCUUGAAGAAAGCCGGGGCUUCUGGCGUUAGGGCAGGAUGUCUGUUGAGGUGAAAUACUGAGAAACAUGUUGGAAGGUGGUUAUAUUGGAACCUCGCAAAUAUUAUAAGGUGGAUGAAGCAACUCUGAUAUUACAACACUAAAUAAUGAGCUUGGUGUGAUUGCUUGCAUUGGACAACAAAGACUGUCCUUGAGAGAUUGUUUCCAGUAUCCAGUAUGCUAGGAUGGAAAGAAAAAUGAUGGUACAUUCGAGAGAGACAAAGAACAAUGAGGCCUUUUGUGAAUGUCAAUCUGUUUAGAUCUGCCAAUGUGCAGAUGUUACUGAUCCCAAUUCUUAUCCAAUGGGGGACACAGGUUGCCUUCUGCAGAGUUGCUUGUGCUUUGCAUUAGGCACUUCUGUGGCAAUACAUGGCAUUUUCCUGAUUUAGCUUUUCAAGUUCUUAGGCAAUUUUAUGACAUUUCACAUAGUUUACAAUUCGGAAGCAAGCACUUAUUGUAAUUGCAUGUUGUGAUCUUCAUAAUUACAUUCAUGAUCAAGAUAGGAUGAACAAAAUUUUUUCCAUAUAUGGAGAUUCGGAGUAUCCAUUUAGACCUACAGAAGUGGAGGUUGUAGAUGAUACAUUGGAUGAGUAGGCAUCUGGGAUAAACAUGCUUAGAAUAAGUAUUGCAAAUAAAAUGGCUGAUCCGGAGUAUCCAUUUAGACCUACAGAAGUGGAGGUUGCAGAUGAUACAUCGGAUGAGCAGGCAUCUGGGAUAAACAUGCUUAGAAUAAGUAUUGCAAAUAAAAUGGCAAUGGAUCACAAUAUGCAUGAAAUUUGUUGACUUUUGUAAUAUUGUUUUUAAGUAUUCACUGUGAUGAAGUUGAACAAUGAACUAUAUUGCUUCAUUAUUGUGAUAUCAUGUAUGGAAGGGUUCAUGUUGAGAUGUAUAAGAUACUCUUCUUUUUGCU